CAGCAGUCGCCGCGGUAAUACGAAGGGUGCAAGCGUUAAUCGGAAUUACUGGGCGUAAAGCGUGCGUAGGCGGUUUGUUAAGUCUGUUGUGGAAUCCCCGGGCUCAACCUGGGAAUGGCAAUGGAUACUGGCAAGCUAGAGUGUGUCAGAGGAUGGUGGAAUUCCCGGUGUAGCGGUGAAAUGCGUAGAGAUCGGGAGGAACAUCAGUGGCGAAGGCGGCCAUCUGGGACAACACUGACGCUGAGGCACGAAAGCGUGGGGAGCAAACAGGAUUAGAUACCCGCGUAGUCCCUGUCUCUUAUAC
rnacentral:rRNA from 1 species